ACCNCUGCCAGAGCAUAUCCAAGAUGCACCC
rnacentral:piRNA from 1 species